rnacentral:rRNA from 1 species
GAUGAACGCUAGCGGGAGGCUUAAUACAUGCAAGUCGAACGGUAAGGUCAGAGCUUGCUCUGAUACACGAGUGGCGAACGGGUGAGUAACGCGUACACUACCUACCUUUUAGUGGAGGAUAGCCCUGGGAAACUGGGAUUAAUACUCCAUAGUAUUGCGAAUUUUUAAUUUGCAAUUAAAGCUCCGGCGCUAAAAGAUGGGUGUGCGUCCUAUUAGCUAGUUGGUAAGGUAACGGCUUACCAAGGCGACGAUAGGUAGGGGGCGUGAGAGCGUGACCCCCCACACGGGUACUGAGACACGGACCCGACUCCUACGGGAGGCAGCAGUAAGGAAUAUUGGACAAUGGGGGAAACCCUGAUCCAGCCAUCCCGCGUGCAGGAUGAAUGCCCUAUGGGUUGUAAACUGCUUUUAUAUGGGAAGAACUAACGUCAUUUAUGAUGUUUUGACGGUACCAUACGAAUAAGCACCGGCUAACUCCG